rnacentral:rRNA from 1 species
AGCGAACGUUAGCGGCGCGCCUAACACAUGCAAGUCGCACGAGAAAGGGAGCAAUCCCCGGUACAGUGGCGCACGGGUGAGUAACACGUAGAUGACCUUCCCUGGAGUGGUGGAUAACCUGCCGAAAGGCGGGCUAAUACAGCAUGGGACCACAUGGUUUUGACCGAGUGGUGAAAGCGGGCCUCUGUUCACAAGCUCGCGCUCUGGGAUGGGUCUGCGUCCCAUCAGCUAGUUGGUGAGGUAAUGGCUCACCAAGGCAUCGACGGGUAGCUGGUCUGAGAGGAUGACCAGCCACACUGGAACUGAGACACGGUCCAGACUCCUACGGGAGGCAGCAGUGGGGAAUCUUGCGCAAUGGGCGAAAGCCUGACGCAGCGACGCCGCGUGGUGAUGAAGGCCUCGGUUGUAAG